CAGAAAUGGACAGAUCGUGUAUAGUCUUCCGAACUACACAGCUCCACCUGUCGCUUCUGAUGUCCCUGUUGUUAAGGCCCACGCUCCACGAAAGAGAAAGUUCUGCACAGAACCAGACGAGAGCAAGCCUUACGUCAAGAAGCCUCCAAACGCUUUCAUGAUAUAUCGCACGGAACAGAGGCCAACAGUUGCGGCAGAGCUGCAGAAGAGGGAUUGUGCAGCUAUCAACAAAGUCAUCGGACAGAUGUGGAGGUCACUGCCCAAAGAGGAGCAGGCGAUAUACUAUGGACAUGCAGACAGGGAGAGGCGGCUCCACGCUCAGAUCUUCCCCGAGUGGUCAGCCUGUGAAAAUUACG